GACAGAGGUCCCGAGCGUUAGGCGGAAUCACUGGGCUUAAAGCGUGUGUAGGCGGAUCGUUAAGUGCGUUGUGAAAUCCCAUGGCUUAACCAUGGAACUGCUUGGCAUACUGGCGGUCUUGAGCCACUUAGGGGCAACCGGAACAAAUGGUGGAGCGGUGAAAUGCGUAGAUAUCAUUUGGAACGCCAAUGGUGAAAACAGGUUGCUGGGAGUGUGCUGACGCUGAGACACGAAAGCCAGGGGAGCGAGCGGG
rnacentral:rRNA from 1 species